rnacentral:misc_RNA from 1 species
GGGUACUUCAUAAGGUGGGGUGGAACUUCAGAAUGGGAAACCAGUCCAUUGUCUUCUGAUCUGGAUUGGAUUAAAAUUGUGGAGCCAGUGAUGAGAUUAUAUACCGAAGCAACAGAUGGCUCGUGCAUAGAACCCAAAGAGAGUGCUUUAGUCUGGCAUCAUCAAGAUGCUGAUUCUGACUUCGGAUCCUGUCAAGCCAAGGAAUUGCUGGACCAUCUAGAAAAUGUACUUGCCAACGAACCGGCCGUUGUUAAAAGGGGCCAACAUAUUGUUGAAGUGAAGCCACAGGGAGUAAGCAAAGGGUUGGUCGCAGAAAAGGUUCUCUCGAGAAUGGUAGAUAGUGGAAGACCACCUGAUUUCGUUAUGUGCAUUGGAGAUGAUCGAUCAGAUGAAGAUAUGUUUGAGAGCAUAUUAAGCACUGUCUCCAGUCCCUCACUGCCUUCCGCUCCAGAAAUUUUUGCCUGUAC